GACGAACGCUGGCGGCGUGCUUAACACAUGCAAGUCGAACGGAAAGGCCCUGCUUUUGUGGGGUGCUCGAGUGGCGAACGGGUGAGUAACACGUGAGUAACCUGCCCUUGACUUUGGGAUAACUUCAGGAAACUGGGGCUAAUACCGGAUAGGAGCUCCUGCUGCAUGGUGGGGGUUGGAAAGUUUCGGCGGUUGGGGAUGGACUCGCGGCUUAUCAGCUUGUUGGGGGGGUAGUGGCUUACCAAGGCUUUGACGGGUAGCCGGCCUGAGCGGGUGACCGGCCACAUUGGGACUGAGAUACGCCCCAGACCCCUACGGGAGGCAGCAGUGGGGAAUAUUGCACAAUGGGCGGAAGCCUGAUGCAGCAACGCCGCGUGCGGGAUGACGGCCUUCGGGUUGUAAACCGCUUUCGCCUGUGACGAAGCGUGAGUGACGGUAAUGGGUAAAGAAGCACCGGCUAACUACGUG
rnacentral:rRNA from 1 species